AAAACUAUAUUUUCAGAGACCAUUUCUAUAGUUUGGUACUAAAGAAGUUUCUCAGAAUGUGUAGAGCACCCCAAACCACGAGGAGGAGGCCCAGUGUUCUCUCCUGAGCAUGAAACAGGCUUUUGGUGCUGCUUUUGCAACUGCCAAUAGCCUCUGAAGAUCAUUCUUAUCUUCUGUUGGAAGAGUAAGGAGGAGAGAACAUAGUCUGAGUGGU